UACGAGGGGUGCAAGCGUUAUUCGGAAUUACUGGGCGUAAAGGGUGUGUAGACGGCAUUUUAAGUCUGUUGUUAAAGACCUCGGCCCAACCGGGGAAAGGCAAUAGAAACUGGAAAGCUAGAGGGUGGAAGAGAGAAGUGGAAUUCUCGGAGUAGCGGUCAAAUGCGUAGAUCUCGAGAGGAACACCGAUGGCGAAAGCAGCUUCUUGGUCCAUACCUGACGUUGAGACACGAAAGCGUGGGUAGCAAACAGG
rnacentral:rRNA from 1 species